UGCCGGCUCCUGAUCAUUCAAUAACGAGACAUCGCUACAUUCACAUCAAGAGUAUAGUCGAAAAUUUGAGUUAUUUUUUAAAACUUUUUGAGAUAUUUUACAUUUAUUUACUGGUGACAACAACACUGAAGGAUCAUGUAAAGUCAUCGAUUGUGCGUGCGGAGCGCGCUAAUAACCCAGUGCCCGAAGGGCUUGGUGUGCUGAAGUAAUCCGUACUCUGCAGCUUCAACUAUUCAUCUAAUACUCCUGUGCUGGGUCAGGUUUGAACAAAAUCUGGUCAUUUUCAAUGAAUAAACCAAGCAAGUAAUAGUGCUUGCAUUGCGUUCGGGAUGUAGCGUCAACAACAUUUUCGCCGAAUAUACAAACGGUGAUAAAGAAUACCAAUUAAUGGAAGCAGAUUAAGUUCUUUAUUUAUAAAUUGAUUGAAAAGUAAAAA